rnacentral:rRNA from 1 species
GAUGAACGCUGGCGGCGUGCUUAACACAUGCAAGUCGAACGGAAAGGCCCUGCUUUUGUGGGGUGCUCGAUUGGCGAACGGGUGUGUAACACGUGAGUAACCUGCCCUUGUCUUUGUGGUAACUUCAGGAAACUGGGGCUAAUACCGGAUAUGAUCUCUUGCUGCAUGGGGUGGGUUGGUAAGUUUCGGCUGUUGUGUCUGUACUCGCUGCUUAUCAGCUUGUUUGUGUGGUAGUGGCUUACCAAGGCUUUGACGGGUAGCCUGCAUGGGAGGGUGAACGGGCACAUUGGGACUGAGAUACGGACCAGAAUCCUACGGGAGGCAGCAGUGGGGAAUAUUGCAGAAUGGGCGGAAGCCUGAUACAGAAACGCCGCGAGCGGGAUGACGGCCUUCGGGUUGAAAACAGAUUUCGAAUGUGACGAAGAGUGAGUGACGGUAAUGGGUAAAGAAGCAACGGCUAACUACGUG